rnacentral:snRNA from 1 species
GUGCUCACUUUGGCAGCACACACACUAAAAUUGGAACGAUACAGAGAUUAGCAUGGACCCUGCACAAAGAUGACAUGCAAACUGGUGAAGCAUUUCAUAUUUUU